UUUACUGAGAUUGAAAGAACCAUCUGUGUUAAUGAGAUGUCGUAAAGAAGAUUUGCAUAUAGUGGAAUCAGUUCUUGAUGAUGCAAAAGCAGAAUAUGCAGAGAAAGCAAAAGUUCAUGAACCUGAAGUUGUUGUUGACACAAUCCACCUUCCAUCUGGCCCUUCUCAUGAUGACCCUCAUGCUCUUUCCUGGUAAAAAAAAAAAAAAAAUUUAUAAAUUUUUUUUAUCUUUCUGUAAAUUUUUUUUUUUACUGAGAUGGUAAAAAUGUUGUUUUACAGCUCUGGAGGUGUAGUUUUGGCUUCUAGAGAUGGUAAAAUUGUGUUUGAAAACUCUCUUGAUGCUCGUUUGGAUGUUGCAUUCCGUGGGAAGCUUCCUGAGGUACUUUUUUUUUUUUUUUUUUUUUUUUUUUUAANACAACUUUUUUCCUUGAGAAAUGGUUUGAUGGAAUGGAAUCAUUACAAAGGAAUGGAAUGAGUCGUUAAACUUUUUAUGCGUGUAAAUAAUAAAAAUAACUAUUAAUUAUACUAUUAUCAUAGUUAAAUAGUAUUAUCUUAUAACAUUAAAAAAAAAAAAACAAUUUUUUUUUGCAGAUCCGAAGGUUGUUGUUUAGCCAGGUGGCUGCUUAAACAAGUAAUGUGAUUUAUGUAUCUAUCUCUCAAUCAAUCUUUAUCAUGAGAAAGAACCUUCAUCGGAUCAUUUUCAAGUCAUCAUCUUUGUGUUUAAACUCUCAGUAUUUAUGGCAUUUGUUUGAAUAAAUAAACAACAUUCCAUGUUACAUCCCUUGCUUGUAUUCUUUUAAGAAUUUUGUCACCUUUUUUGAACCAUUAUGAAUUAUUUGUUUGUGG
rnacentral:lncRNA from 1 species